UAUAAGGCUCAUAAAGUUCGAAAUAACCAGGAAGGAAUUCAUUAGGAGAAGAUUGAAAAGAAUAACGGAAGUUGGAAUGUAUUGGACCAUAAGAAGUGAUUUCGGAGAUAGCAAACAACGAUACGCGUCGUGGAAGAUAGUAAUAUACGGUCUGUCGAUACGUCGAUCGAGAUAACCGGAUACCCGAUAAAUUUGGCGACGAUAAUUCGCGUAUCUCUACUUUUAUCAGUUUCGAUGUCGUACCGUAAGCGGAUAUCGUAAAUUCGUGAAGUUUCCGGAUCACAAAGACAGCACUCUUCAGCCAGCGCCCCCUUCUCGUUACCCGUGCAGCAAGGAACGCACUGACUAUUCAACUUAUCCAGAUGCAAUGGUGGCGAACAGGCUGCGCAACUAAAUUUUCCUGGACCAGUACAUCUUCGACAAUCGGAAUGGCAAUUUUUACAGAGUUGCGUCAGGGGAUCGUAGUAUUGCGCUCCAAGACAUUCCAUACAGAGGCCACCCUCUAGCAUCGAAUGGGGUACGACAGUAAUGGUGACACUUCUGGCAGCCAAAGUUAGAUUUGAAGAAUCCUUCGGGACACUCCGGAUGACACUCGCCCGCUGCUAGUUGCCAACCACGAGGGCAGGUCACGCAUUGAUCUCUUCUGGGUCCGGAACACGUUUUGCACGACAGGUUGGAUAGAAGAUCAUCUCUCAGUUGCUAAUUCCUUAUCCAAAAACUAAUAUAUAACAAAAUAAAAACUCAACGAAUAGACAAGAAACGAAAGGUAAAAGAAAAAAAGGAAAAAUAUUUGAUUUUUCUAAAGCAAACUUACCCCUGAG